CGGCUGUCAUGGCGUCCGGCGGGAGCGGCGCUGCCGAGGGGAUGGAGCCGGCCGGGGCAGAAGGCGCUGAGCCAGCGGGCACCGGCAGCGAGAGCGGCUCCUGCGGCUCCUCGCCGUCUGCGAGCUCCGAUGACCUCGAGCCUGAGUGGUUGGAUAGUGUGCAGAAAAAUGGAGAAUUAUUUUACUUGGAAUUAAGUGAAAGUGAAGAAGAAGUUCUGCUUCAGAACAGCUGUCCAGAAAUGCCAGCAGUGAAUCAUGUCAGGUUUCGUGAAAAUGAAGCUGAAAUUAUUCAAGAGGGAUCACGAAAGGAAAGAAAGUAUGAACUGAAGAAAUGGACCAAAAUGCUAAAAAAGAAAAGUCUUUUACCAAAGCGUUCCAGUAAGAAAGGCAGUGGAAGCUGCAACCAGGAACCCUCUGGUCCUACUUCCAUAUUGAAACACCAGUCUGCUCAUAAAACGGGUGUCACUGUUCAGCAAAAGUACAAAGAUGUAUCUGUUUAUGUAAAUCCCAGAAAACUCUGCAGUGCUGGGGAAGAAGAGCAGCACAGGCUGCUGGAGGCCUUAGUAGGGAUUGUCCAUCAGUCUUCGUGGAGCAGCAGAAGAGUGGAAAAACAAGGCAGGAGGGAUAAAGCCACCAGAGGAGUCAGUGAAGAGAAGCUUGUGGUACAUGGCUUGGUGCCAGGUAGUUCUGCAAUAAAAACAGGUCAAAUCCUGAUUGGAGAUGUUCUUGUUGCUGUAAAUGAUGUUGAUGUGAAUUCUGAAAACAUAGAGAGGGUUUUGUCUUGCAUUCCAGGUCCUAUGCAGGUUAAACUGACAUUUGAAACCUCAGUAUUUGAGCCUGAAGGAACUUCUCAGCAAGGGAACAAACAGACGCAGUCAAGUAUGAACAACCUGGUUCGACUCCUUUGGGGAGAGGACAGUUUGGACCUUCAGCAGGCUGUGCAGGACGUGCCUCACAUUGUCAUGUUCCUCGCGCUGAAACUGGACUCUGAGACAUCCAAGGAUGAGCAAGAAAUUAUUUAUCAGUACCCCAUAUCUGAAGCAUCCCAAAAACUGAAAAGUGUGAGAGGGAUAUUUCUCACACUGUCUGACAUACUGGAAAGUGUUACUGGUACCGAGAUUAUCAGUUCCUCCCUUUUCUUAUGUGAAAAACUGGUUCAAGUUGUUUACUGGAAAGAAUCUGACAAGUUGCUCGUAAUUGGCCUUCCUGAAGAAAAUGUGCCCCUUUCUCAGCUGAGGAACAUGAUUCAAGAUGUUGUCAGGACCUUGACAUUCAUGUACAGUUCUUUGGACAGUGCUUUUUGCCAGGUGGAAAAUGUUUCUCGCCUGGAUCAUUUUUUCAACCUGUUCUUCCAGCGUGCCCUUCAUCCUGCGAGGCUCCAGUCUGGCCCCAGUGCUCAGCACCAGGAUUCCUGCAGUGCCCUGUUCCUAGACAGCCUCCCAGGCCUGCGCUGGCUGACUCUGCCUCAGGAAAUCAAGAUGGAAAUUGACACAGCGCUGAGUGAUCUGGAAGCAGCUGACUUUGCAGAGCUGUCUGAAGAUUAUUAUGACAUGAGAAGAUUAUAUGUGAUCCUGGGCUCUUGUCUCUUUUACAAGGGUUACUUGAUUGGUAAUCACUUGCCAAAGGAAGACCUUGUUGAUGUGGGUUUCUACUGCCGGCACUACUGUCUGUUACCCCUGGCAGCAGAGCAGAGGAUUGGGCAGCUGGUGAUUUGGCGGGAGGUGUUCCCACAGCAUCACCUCCAGCCGUGUGAAGAGUCGAGUUUGACGGGUUACAGGGAACCUGAAGCAAGAUACUUCUUACUGAUAGUUGGCUUGAGACACUUUGUCCUGUGUGUCCUGCUGGAGGCAGGGGGCUGUGCAUCCAGAGCUAUUGGGAAUCCAGGACCAGACUGUAUCUACGUAGAUCAGGUCAAAGCAACCAUACUCCAGCUGGAAGGAAUAGACAGCAGCAUAGAGGAAAGGCUGGAUUCUCCCUCCAUCCCACCUGUAGCCUGUGCUGACUGGUUCCUUCCUACAGCACGGGAUAGACUGGAGAGCUUGAGCACCUCGCCAAUGCUAAGCAAGCUCCAGAACUCCUGCAAACCUGUGAAUGUUCCAGGGCUCAGGAGGAGCCUCUUUGGGGACACUUCCCACACCACACACAAGCAGAGCCCUCCGAGGAGCAGCGGGGGAGCCGAGCAGGGCAGCGAAGGGCCCGCGGAGAAGGAAAGCACCAAUCCACAACCUGUGGCAGCGCAGGCCACUAGGAAAAAACACACCCUACCAAACCCAUUUAAUUCAGGAAACAUUAAAAAGAACCCUUCAGAGAAAGAUACAGAACUACUUAAUACUAUCAAGUUGACAUCUGGUCCUGAGAAUACCCUCUUCCACUACCUGUUUUUGGAGACAAUGCAGGGAAUCUUCAUUACUCCAACUCACAAAGAAGUGGCACAGCUUGGUGGCUCCAUCCACCCUCAGUUAAUCGAGAAUUUCUACCAGUGCUGCCUUUCAAUUCGUUCCAUUUUCCAGCAGUCCAUGAGGAAAGAGUUGUUUUACAGAAGAAGAAAAAGGCAGGCAGUGGGAUUUUAGAAUUUAAUAAGUCAGCUGAGGACCCAGGUCUGGUGAGAGAACACGGGCUUCUGUUUGAGUGCUCUCCUGAAAACUGGACUGACCAGAAGAAACCACCACCACCAAUGAACUACUGGGUUGUGGGGAGACUCAUUCUCCAUCCCAAACCUCAGGAGUUUUACGUGUGUUUCCAUGACUCAGUGACAGAAGCUGCUGUGGAACUGGCCUUUAAAUUGUCCUUUAGCUUAGCUGCAUAGAUGAGCUUCCUGUACACUCAGGCAUCCUGUGUGGUGGUGUUAAGUCUUUAAAGCAUCCCAUCUAAAGGGAAAUGAACUCAAUUUGGGUGCCACCCAUGGGGUAUCUUUGAAAUGCUUAAAAAUAAUCAAAUGCCUUGUGGUAUGACACAGUUAAAACUUCAGUGGUGCUUUUAAUGAGCUCAUCAGUAGAAUACUUAAAAAUAUUUCAGAGAACCAAAGUUCUUAUUUUUAUAUACUGUCACUUUUUUUUAUCCUGGUCAUAACUUUAUUGUAUGAAAACACCACAUAAUUUGUAGGUUCACUGCUGUUUGGUGUACAACAUGCAACAUAAAAUGGUAAGCGAAUCUUCAAAGUGCUCUAUGAACAUGGAAAUUGGUGAUGGAGGAAAAAACAGUUCUCCAGUUAGUUAAAAUUUUGCACCUCCUGAAAAAUACAGAAUGUUUCCAGUAGCAUUGUGUCAGUCAAAACAGAGGGAAAAAUUUUAGACAAUUCCUGGCACUUAGCCUCACAAAACUAAUGGCUUACCAUUUCUGCUCUCCUGCACACUCGAGGACUAUAGUGU